rnacentral:lncRNA from 1 species
CUCAUCUGUGAGUAAGAAUGCCUAACCUCCUGCCAAUGCAGCCCAGUAGGUCUCAGUCUUGUUUUGUCCAACCCCUAUUCAAGAUGGAGUUGCUGUGGUUCAAACACUUCUGAAAAUUUCAGAGUUCUAGGAAACCAACAAUCAGGCCUCCCACAUAGAUCAAGGAAUUGAAACUUACCAGAUCACUUCAUCUGGACAAUGAGAUACUAGACACCUUACCCAUCAUGAGUGCCUAAGCGACCACCUGCUAUUGGGUUACCAGCUCCUCUUCCAUAUCCCUCCCUAAUUCCUGUUUUCCCACACAUGAUUACAUUUCUUUCCAGCUAUACAAACUCUUAAUUUUAGUACAUUAGGGAGAUGGAUUUGAGACUGACCUCCCUUCUCCACAGCUGCAACAACCAAUUAAAGGCUUCUUCCCUGGCAAUA